rnacentral:rRNA from 1 species
CUGGCGCACGGGUGAGUAACACGUAGGCAACCUGCCACCGGGAGGGGGACAACACGGCGAAAGCCGUGCUAAUACCGCAUAAUGCAGCGGGGCCGCAUGGCCACCGCUGCCAGGGGAAACCUGCCUGGUGAUGGGCCUGCGUCGCAUUAGCUAGUUGGUAGGGUAAUGGCCUACCAAGGCGAUGAUGCGUAGCUGUUCUGAGAGGAUGAUCAGCCACACGGGGACUGAGACACGGCCCCGACUCCUACGGGAGGCAGCAGUGAGGAAUCUUGCGCAAUGGACGAAAGUCUGACGCAGCCACGCCGCGUGCAGGACGAAGGCCCUACGGGUCGUAAACUGCUUUUGUCAGGGAAGAAACCGCGGGAUUUGUCCGCGCUGACGGUACCUGUCGAAUAAGCACCGGCUAACUCCGUGCCAGCAGCCGCGGUAAUACGGAGGGUGCAAGCGUUGUCCGGAAUCAUUGGGUGUAAAGGGUGCGCAGGCGGACUGCUAAGUCUGGGGUGAAAGACCACGGCUCAACCGUGGAAGGUCCCUGGAUACUGGUGGUCUUGAAUAUGAGACAGGUCGGUGGAAUUCGAGGUGUAGCGGUGAAAUGCAUAGAUAUCUCGAAGAACACCAGUGGUGAAGACGGCCGGCUGGAUCAUUAUUGACGCUCAGGCACGAGAGCGUGGGGAGCAAACAGGAUUAGAUACCCUGGUAGUCCACGCCGUAAACGAUGGAUACUAGGUGUCGUGGCUUUCGGGCUGCGGUACCGCAGCUAACGCGUUAAGUAUCCCACCUGGGG